rnacentral:antisense_RNA from 1 species
GGGCGGGGCGCUCCCGGGGACCUGGGUUUGCUGCUCCCCGAGCCGUGAGUCUCACUCUGUCACCCAGGCUGCAGUGCAGUGGCACCAUCUCGGCUCACUGCAGCCUCCACCUCCUGGGUUCAAGUGAUCCUCCUGCCUCAGCCUCUCGAGUGCUGGAAUUACAGCUUUGCAGAGGCAAGCGUCUAUGAUUUAAAUGCUAGCUUUACCUCUUACUGGCUGAAAGACUUUAGAUGACAAUAACAAAAAAUGAAGAGGAUGAUGAUGAUGAUGAUACAAGAUGCCAUUGCCCGUAUGUACCAGACAUCAUGCUAAGUGAGUGCUACCCACAUCAUUUUUCUUUCUUUUCUUUUCUU